UAUGUGGUCCGAAUCAGUGGUGGGAAC
rnacentral:piRNA from 2 species